rnacentral:misc_RNA from 1 species
CUGCCCCGCUCGGCCUCCCCCCCCCACUCCUCGAACUCGUACUUCCGCACCCCACCCCAUAUCCGCAGGAAGGCCGGGUGCGUGCGCGUGCGUGUGUGCCACUGAGUAGAGGAGACAUCGCUUUGAGGGGCCUCUUGAACUGUCUUCUCGCCGUCCCUCGGUGGAGAGCACAACCGCGCAGGCCGAGGAGGGCAACACACUCUCGCCGACCUCUCUCGGUGCGCACACGGUGCUGCUGCGAAGAACUUUUACUUUCCUCUUCUUUUCGUUUUGCCUUUGCAUGUAACGGUGCAUAAUCAAUACGGUGAACGUGGCUUCUCUGCUUGCUGCCCUUCCCCUUCCCCCCUUCUCUCCUGUCGGGUGCCACUCGGUGAGUGGUCUCCUCGUGUGAGAGCCGUUGGUGCGAUCUCGCGGGCCGGUCUAGACGCUUUUGAUUUGGCGAGCCCGCCCCUUCUUCCCUUGUCCUCCAUCCGUGACGCGCACCAGCCGCCGCCGCAGCGUCGGACGCUCUGUCUCGCCCUGGCUGCAUCACCAAUCCGUUCCCUCCCUCGGUCUCACGACUGCAAGAGGCGAGCAGUCAGCCGCCUGCAGCGCGGACAACCGACGCACACAUCCGAAAAUAGAAGCGCCAUAUACAGUAUAAAGCAGCCGUGCGAGAGAGAGGCGAGGUGGCACCUUCCCUCCUUCGCACACUCACCCGCUAUCCUCCCUUCCCAUAGAAGACACCGCAGGUACAGUCGCACCGACACGGUUACCCGGGCAUCGAAGCGCUUCCCCGCCACACACACAUAUCCGGCCUCCCUCGCUCACCGCCUCGGAGGGAGCGCCACCAGCCAUGGAAAGCGCAGACCCGAUCACGAAGGCAAAGCUGUUCGCCUCGCAUGAGACGGGCCAGUGGACAGAAAUCGGGUUUGGCGUCGUCUCCAUCGUGAAGGAGCAGCUGCCGAUAAGCUCCGCGGAUGGCUCCAUCGGCGGUGGCGGCGCAGCAGGGGUUUCCGCUGGGGGAGGCGGCAAGCGAGGGAAGGCGACAGACGAGGAAACGGGCACGAGGCUCGCGGCGCGGCUGCAGAUCUUUUCCACUGACAACCCCAACGACCUCCUCCUCUCCAGCUACGUCAGUCUGGACGACGUCUACACGAUUCAGGGCGAGACCAUUCUGCUGUGGUAUGACGAGGCGGUCAGCAACGAAAUCGCGUGCAGCUUCGAUGACAAGGACGGCUGUGAGUUCAUUUACCGCCAGAUCAAGUCGUAUCAGCAGUCGGAGCGGCUGCGCCGCGUACAGGAUGAACGGGUGCCAGCGCUUGCGGACAAGUUCCUCGUGCACCCACACAACCUCGCCGGCAUCCUGGACGCGGCGCAGGCACAGAACAAGCGCUUUGGCCUCUACGUCCGCGAGGACCCGCAAUACUUCACGAAGUUGGCGCAGCUCUUUCACGCCAGCAGGGAGAAGCAGGACACCGCAUCGAUGGAGCUCAUCGCACGCAUCGUCCUCACGCUCUUUCAGUCCCCCUACAACACGGAGGGGAAGAUCGUCGCUCAGCUUGUCGAGAAUGAGCGCAUCGAUGACUGCAUCGACAUUGUGCAGUACGGCCUUGGCCGGCGUGACAAGGAGAGCGGCUUUGUGAGCUUCGAGGAGCGGCGGGCCACCUUUCACGACCCGUGCCACCUGCCAGAGUCGAUGCUGCCGCGCAUCCACGUCUUGUACUCGUGUGGGUUCCUGAGAGACUUGAUACCGCUGAACCUCGAGCCGGCCGAUGCGGCCUCCUACUCACUCCUCAGCACCUUCACGCUGCGCUUCACCAUGAACUUGCUGACCGAUGUCGUCGCGUCGCCCACGAUCCUGCCCAACGCCUUCCGCACAACCGUGGAGGCGGUACGGCUCGACUCGCCUUCUGCGGACCCCGCCUCUAUUGAACCCAGCAAGGUGGCGCACCUGUUUGAGUUGGCGGCCUUCGUCGGCGACGUGGCCAAGACGGUGAAGAACGCGAUGAUCGGCAUUGACAUGCGCGCCGAGAUCUUCUCCUCGCUUGUGCGAGUCGGGGCCCUGCCGUUUCUGACGGCGGUGCUGGAGUGCGCACUGCGUUACUAUGACAGCACGCUGGCGCACCCUCCGGCGCAGCAGUGGGCGGUGGAGCCGCCGCGCGCGGUGCAGCUCGUGUGCGACACCCUCUACAGCUGCGCCUCGCACUUUCCGGAGUGUGUAGAGGAUCUAGUGGCCGAGGCGCACGCGGUCCCGGAUCGGUGCCUGUUGCGGCUGCUGCUGCGCGCUAUCACGGUAGUCCGCUCGGGUGCCGAGGCGCAGUCCGUCGUUGAUGCUGUGCAGUGCUGCGGUGUGGGGGUCCCCCUGACGCUCGCCAUGUUCGGCGACAACGCGCAGCUGGAGGCGCGCCGGCACGAGGUGCUGCGCUUCUGGAUCGAGGGCAACAAUGUGGACCGCCCGCCGCUUUUUUACCUCGCCGAGCACCUCGUACAGAUGCUGGACCAGGCAGCGCGAGUGACGGCGCCGGCGCCCCCGAGCGGGGGCGGCGAUAACGGUGCUUGCUUCCCGUUCACGGGCGGUGCGCUUCAGCUUCCGUUGGUGCAAGAGCGGCAAAUUGUGUACGGCCUCCGUAUUGUCGCGGUCGUCAUCUCCAAGGUGGAUGCAUCGCGGUGCGAUAGCUUGCUCGAGGUGCUCACGUUGUCGAAGCUGAUGCCGGCGCUGGCCACGACGCUCGUUUCACCACAGCGGCGGAUGGCAAACUUGCAGUCUUCUGUCACGUCUUUCCUGGCCACCGUGCUAGACCGUCGCGAUGCACGCCUCGUGACUCUCGUCACCGGUGACCCUGCGCCGAGUCUGCUGCAUACAGCGUUGUUGCUGUACCUGCAGUGUAGUCACCGCGACAAUGUGCUGAGCUCAUCACUGGCGCACCUGGUCGCCGCUGUCUGCGAGGGUGUCCACCGCGAGAAGCUUCAAGGCACUUUCUCCAUGAGCAGCGGCGGCUCGUUGGGCCCAAGCCCGUUUGUCACCAUCCUCCACGGCGACGACUCGAUCAGCAAGGCGGAGAAGACGUCCACGGCAGCAGCGCCGCCGGCGCGGCCUUUUGAGGCGGUCGCCACCGUCCUACUCUCGCAGUUCGGCGAGCGUCUAUCCAAGAAGGUGCCAGUGCUGUACGAGCGCCUGCAGAGGGCACUGGAGGAAACCCCAGAGCAGGCCCAGCUGGCCGAAGCCGAGACCUCCAGCCUCGCCAGCUCGGUGGAACGCUCCGCCAUAUCGGGCUUCGCCGACUUCGACGCCGCCGCGAUCGACUUUGGCCUGGAGUCGCCGCUCGGCACGCCGAUUAUGGACGGCGGCUCUGAGGCACGUCUGCACGGCCUGAUCCACUCCACCGCGGCCACCAGCGACGAGGACGGAGAAAACGGAGGCGACCCGCUCGCAUCCCUCAGCAGCAUCGACGACGACUCAGACAAUGAGGAGGUGGGAACACCCGUGCCACCAUCGGCGCAGCCGUCCAAGUCAUCGCUGAGCGCACCCGACUCCCCGCCCGGGGCGGCCGCCACUUCGAGUGCGGCCGACCAGCACAGCGGCGGCACCGCUGGUAUCUCAUCCCUUGCUGCUUCAACUUCUCUCGCAUCGUCGGCGGUGGCCGCCUUGGAGUGCCUUGACCCGCCCAGUGGCCGGGGCUCGCUGCUCGAGGACGAGGAGAACCGCCUGCCGAGGCGGGUGAGCAUCAAGCGCACCCGCGCCGACUCCGACAAGCUGAACGACGAUGAAGAGGAGGCGGAGGCGAAGCGAGUGCGUGCAGAGGAGUCCGCAGCUUGAGAUGCUCACUGGACCUGUCGGCAUGUGUGUGGGUUUCUUAGCGAGCGCGCGGCAUUGGCCUGUCUGUGCGCCGCUCUGAAGGGCCUCCGUGCUUCUUGAGUAGGCGACUUUGUUUGCGGGUAAGAAAGCGGCGCGGAGUCGUUCUCGCGCGGACGCGCGCACUGUUGUGGGACUGUGUGUGUGGGUGUGUGCCCAGAGGCAGAAGGCGAAGGAGCAAGCACGAGUGCGUAGGAAGACUGACACUCCAGGCAGAUACCGCAGCUUCGACCUCGGAUCUCGCACGAGUGCCCCUCUUCACCAUUGCCGAUGUGUGUUUGCUUUCCCAUGUAAGAACAGGAUCGAUGCUGUGAUGCACACCCAUGCGCCGAAGGCAGGCCUCUUCUCCAUCUCCCUCCCCUCUCACCGCGUUUCCACCGUCGGUGCCGCGAUGCCGUGCGGGAUGGGGAAGGGGAGAGGAAAGGCGGCGCACGUGGCGCUCCUCGGAC